rnacentral:miRNA from 1 species
GCCCCUCGCCCGGCUCGGCCGCUGCCGCCGCUUGGGCGCGCGGGCCGGGGCCGGGGCCGGGGCCGGGCCGGGGGC